CAGGGAGACAACACAAUGAUUUUGAUGCCUGAGUGCUUUUAUUCUUAGGCCGAAAUCCUGUCACCUUAGGUCGAUCGGUACCUCAGCUUUGAAGUCAAGGAUCAGCAGCAAUGUUGAUUGCUUGAUGGAGAUUUUCAGUUCCUAAACUUUGUCUAGGUCACACCCCAAAAGGGAUGAGACUCCUGGGCCAUUAGCUCAGGUGGUUAGAGCGCACCCCUGAUAAGGGUGAGGUCCCUGGUUCAAGUCCAGGAUGGCCCAUUCGGUGUUGGGGGUUUAGCUCAGUUGGUAGAGCGCCUGCUUUGCAAGCAGGAUGUCAGGAGUUCGAGUCUCCUAACCUCCACUGACCGAACUUGAUUCCCAUCUCCAAUUUUUUGGAGUUGAGCUCGAUUGGAGUGUGAUUUAGAUGUGUCCGCUGGAUGACCCCAGCUUCCUGUCAUUCCAAGUUUUAGGUUAAAGCCUUGAAUUUGGUUGAUAAGAUGCUGGGCUCGGAUCAAAUGAUCAAGCAAUUGAUGAUUUGAUUUGAAGUUCUAGCAGAACCUUGACAACUGCAUAGGUGAGUCUGAAAAAAACAAAGCAUCUUACAGAUGCAUUGUUUUGAAUCUGAUCUUCUGAAAGGAAGAUUGGAUCUAGAACAAUGAAAAUUCUUUUGAGCAAGAGCCGAGACUCUUGAGCGUUCUUUGAUUGGUGUCGAGCCAAUCAGAGUUUGAUCUUGUUUUUAGCAAUAAAAACUUGAGAAUCUGCUUUCAACGGUGGUAAGCGUUCAGGAGGUUAAUU
rnacentral:tRNA from 1 species